UACGUAGGUGGCAAGCGUUGUCCGGAAUUAUUGGGCGUAAAGAGCGUGUAGGCGGCCAGAUAAGUCCGCUGUGAAAUCUCGAGGCUCAACUUCGAGCUGUCGGUGGAAACUAUCUGGCUAGAGUCCGGAAGAGGAGAAUGGAAUUCCUGGUGUAGCGGUGAAAUGCGCAGAUAUCAGGAAGAACACCCGUGGCGAAGGCGGUUCUCUGGGACGGUACUGACGCUGAGGAGCGAAAGCGUGGGGAGCGAACAGG
rnacentral:rRNA from 1 species